UGCAGACCUCCGCUACCCCGGACUCC
rnacentral:piRNA from 1 species